UUUUUUUUUUUUUUUUUUUGUCAUUUCUUGGGCUGCUCUCAUGGCAUAUGGAGGUUCCCAGGCUAGGGGUCAAAUCGGAGCUACAGCUGCCGGCCUACGCCACAGCCACAGCAAUGCCAGAUCCGAGCCUUGUCUGCUCCUUACACCACAGCUCAUGGCAACAGAGGCCAGGGAUUGAACGCACAUCCUAAUGGAUCCUAGUUGGAUUCAUUUCUGCUGUGCCACGAUGGGAACUCCCCUUCCUUUGUAUUUUAAAGAACAGUGUCUAAAGUAGGUCCCAUCCUUUUGUUAUUCUCAACCACAGUUCCAACGGUUGAGUGUCUCCUGGGAUAUGCAUGCUCUGUUCCAUUUCUUUCUUUUUUUAAACAGACCCAGAGUCCCAGAAGAAGUUAGAUGUUGUGCUUACAAACUGCAUACACAUGGGCAUCAUGGAAGUGCAAAACUCCAAUAAAGAAAUAAGCACAUGGUUUCUUAGUUCAUUUUUUAUGUUAAUGAUGAAAGUGCAGGUAAGAAAAUAAGAACUAGCCUUAAGGACAUAUAAGUGAUGGAAAGAGAAGGAAAAUUCUAGGUGGAGCCCAGAGAAGUUAUCAUUCUCUUCCUAUCAACAUUGGGUGGAUGUGCAGGCCCCUUGCUUUAUAGCAGCAGAACAAAAUAAAAUGACUGAUGAUCAAAGAAACUCACAGAUGCCUACAGAAUUAAAUUAUCAACCCACUUUGACAUUUUGCAAGUAUAAAUAGAAACAGAAAUAACUAGAGGUGUAGAAAUAGUUGAAGAAGCCCCUCAACAUUAAAUUCUAAACUUCAAAUUUGAAACACCUAGAGAUUGGGGUUUCUCUGUAAUCUAUAAAUCAGCCUUGAUUCAAAGAAAUAGCCAGGCUGGCAUGGGGGAGCAACUUUAGAUCUGGCCAGCACAGGACCUGGGGAGGCUCAGUAGAGACCCACUAUCUGUUAAUAAGGAAGAAGACCCAAAACAGAGCCAGGACAAAUAAUUCUGUCAUUUUAAUGUCAAAAGUGUCCAACCAUUCUUUAUUGUGAAAAGGAUACAUAAUUAAGCUGUAUCUUUAUAUUAUUAUUUUUUUUUUACUAUUUGGCAUAUUAUUCAUUCCCAGUGAUGUUUCAUUUCUCCUCAAAUGAUUCUUUUGCAACCUUUAGAAAGCCCUGCAAUUUCCUUUUCAUUUGGCCGAACGUGGCAGACACAGGAGGGAGAGCUUCUAAAUCCUGUUGCUCAGAAUAUGGCUUUUUUUUUUUUUUUUUUUUUGUCUUUUCAGGGUCGCACCCACUGCAAAUGGAGGUUCCCAGGCUAGGGGUCUAAUCGAAGCUACAGCUGCCAGCCUACACCAGAGCCACAGCAACGCCAGAUCUGAGCCACGUCUGUGACCUAUAGCACAGCUCAUGGCAAUGCCUGAUCCUUAACCCACUGAGUAAGGCCAGGAAUCGAACUCAAAACCUCGUGGUUCCUCGUGGUUUCUGCUGCGCCACAACGGGAACUCCCAGAAUAUGUUUAAAAAAAAAAAAAAAAGCAGGACCCCAGACAGGUGUGUAACUGUUUGAAUGGGCUAUCUCUUAUACAACUAGGAAUAAGACCUACUUGGAAGAAGUUUUGCUCUAGAAACUGUUGAUGCUCUUGACUUAUUGAGGGGAGUUCCAUAAAAUGGCCAUUACCAACUGUAUAAGACAAAACUCGUGUUAGCUCAAAGGUUAGUCCCUGUUUUAAAAUCCCAAAAAAGAUAAACCCUAUUAUGGGCCAUUUCCACUUUCCCCACUGCUUCCCUGACAAGAGGUAAUGUGGGUCUGAGGAGGAAACUGAAGAUUCAUGGCCCAAAUAGAGCAGAAGUCUUGUCUUGUGUAACUGCCCAAAUGCUAAUACAAACUCAUUGUUGCUCAAUUUGUUCUUUAAAAGCUGUGCUUUAUUCUAUUAACUUUGAUUUGCCCUCUUAGCUUCUGUCAUUUUUCCAUACUGGACUGUCCUGGCAAUCCUCCUCACCUUUCUGUCUGGGUUUCAGUCUCUGACAGGGGCUCUGUGCCUAGGUCUCCCUGCCAGCAUCCAUAGCCCAUCGGUAACUAACAGUCAUCUUAGCCUUGUCCAGUGGUGAUAGCUUCACCCGUAGAUUUAACUGAGACAAAACUGAACAACUUACCAUAAAUAUCGGAGUCAAGAAAAAAUUAUUAGGAGACUAGGCGUACAUAAGUUUAGAUAAAAACAGAGAAGGCAGGACGACAGUGUGGUCCAAGUAAUUUUCUCUGUGCAAAGAUGCCUUCUAUUUAGUAUAACUAAACACAUUACUUCUGGGGAAAAAAAAAAACAACAACAAAAAUUCACACUCCAAAAAAGGGAGAAAAACUAGUAUUGAGAGCAAUUAUGAGUAUGACUUAAAAUGUCACUUUUUAUCUGUUGUACAGGAGAGUAAAUAUCAUGAAAACUUAACCAUGAUAAGGAAAAAAAAAACACUUAACCAUGAUGAAAUAUUUGUCAAACAGUAUUUGUUCCUAUAUUAAGAAAUUAAUACCCACAUGCACAACUUUGAGUUGAUAGAAACUAAAAACUUAAGGUAAUAGAAUUAAGGAUUUCAUUUUCCUUUUUAGAGUUUUAUAUAUUUUUCAAAUUUUUUGGAAAGGCGUUUUGGAAAUAGAAAAAAAAAAAA
rnacentral:lncRNA from 1 species